GGUGAUAGUGAGUGAGACACAGGGAGAGAUAGGAAGAAGGUGAUAGUGAGUGAGACACAGGGAGAGAUAGGAAGAAGGUGAUAGUGAGUGAGACACAGGGAGAGAUAGGAAGAAGGUGAUAGUGAGUGAGACACAGGGGAGAGAUAGGAAGAAGGUGAUAGUGAGUGAGACACAGGGAGAGAUAGGAAGAAGGUGAUAGUGAGUGAGACACAGGGAGAGAUAGGAAGAAGGUGAUAGUGAGUGAGACACAGGGAGAGAUAGGAAGAAGGUGAUAGUGAGUGAGACACAGGGAGAGAUAGGAAGAAGGUGAUAGUGAGUGAGACACAGGGGAGAGAUAGGAAGAAGGUGAUAGUGAGUGAGACACAGGGGAGAGAUAGGAAGAAGGUGAUAGUGAGUGAGACACAGGGGAGAGAUAGGAAGAAGGUGAUAGUGAGUGAGGCACAGGGAGAGAUAGGAAGAAGGUGAUAGUGAGUGAGACACAGGGAGAGAUAGGAAGAAGGUGAUAGUGAGUGAGACACAGGGUAGAGAUAGGAAGAAGGUGAUAGUGAGUGAGACACAGGGAGAGAUAGGAAGAAGGUGAUAGUGAGAGAGACACAGGGGAGAGAUAGGAAGAAGGUGAUAGUGAGUGAGACAGGGGAGAGAUAGGAAGAAGGUGAUAGUGAGUGAGACACAGGGAGAGAUAGGAAGAAGGUGAUAGUGAGUGAGACAAAGGGUAGAGAUAGGAAGAAGGUGAUAGUGAGUGAGACACAGGGUAGAGAUAGGAAGAAGGUGAUAGUGAGUGAGACAGUGGAGAGAUAGGAAGAAGGUGAUAGUGAGUGAGACACAGGGAGAGAUAGGAAGAAGGUGAUAGUGAGUGAGACACAGGGAGAGAUAGGAAGACGGUGAUAGUGAGUGAGACACAGGGAGAGAUAGGAAGAAGGUUAUAGUGAGUGAGACACAGGGAGAGAUAGGAAGACGGUGAUAGUGAGUGAGACACAGGGUAGAGAUAGGAAGAAGGUGAUAGUGAGUGAGACACAGGGGAGAGAUAGGAAGAAGGUGAUAGUGAGUGAGACACAGGGGAGAGAUAGGAAGAAGGUGAUAGUGAGUGAGACACAGGGAGAGAUAGGAAGAAGGUUAUAGUGAG